CCAGACAGCCAGGAUGUUGGCUUAGAAGCAGCCAUCAUUUAAAGAAAGCGUAAUAGCUCACUGGUCGAGUCGGCCUGCGCGGAAGAUGUAACGGGGCUAAACCAUGCACCGAAGCUGCGGCAGCGACACUAUGUGUUGUUGGGUAGGGGAGCGUUCUGUAAGCCUGUGAAGGUGUGCUGUGAGGCAUGCUGGAGGUAUCAGAAGUGCGAAUGCUGACAUAAGUAACGAUAAAGCGGGUGAAAAGCCCGCUCGCCGGAAGACCAAGGGUUCCUGUCCAACGUUAAUCGGGGCAGGGUGAGUCGACCCCUAAGGCGAGGCCGAAAGGCGUAGUCGAUGGGAAACAGGUUAAUAUUCCUGUACUUGGUGUUACUGCGAAGGGGGGACGGAGAAGGCUAUGUUGGCCGGGCGACGGUUGUCCCGGUUUAAGCGUGUAGGCUGGUUUUCCAGGCAAAUCCGGAAAACUAAGGCUGAGGCGUGAUGACGAGGCACUACGGUGCUGAAGCAACAAAUGCCCUGCUUCCAGGAAAAGCCUCUAAGCAUCAGGUAACAUCAAAUCGUACCCCAAACCGACACAGGUGGUCAGGUAGAGAAUACCAAGGCGCUUGAGAGAACUCGGGUGAAGGAACUAGGCAAAAUGGUGCCGUAACUUCGGGAGAAGGCACGCUGAUAUGUAG
rnacentral:rRNA from 1 species